AUUGAACGCUGGCGGCAUGCCUAACACAUGCAAGUCGAGCGAGCGGCGGACGGGUGUGUAAUGUAUGGGGACUGCCCGAUAGAGGGGGAUAACUACUGGAAACGGUGGCUAAUACCGCAUACUAUCGGAUAACCCAUAUGGGAUUAGCUAGUAGGUGGGGUAAAGGCUCACCUAGGCGACGAUCUCUAGCUGGUCCGAGAGGAUGAUCAGCCACACUGGGACUGAGACACGGCCCAGACUCCGACGGAGGCAGCAGUGGGGAAUAUUGCACAAGGGGCGAAAGCCUGAUGAAGCAAGGCCGCGGGUAUGAAGAAGGCCUUAGGGUUGUAAAGUACUUUCAGCGGGGAGGCGUUACCCGCAGAAGAAGCACCGGCUAACUCCGUGCCAGCAGCCGCGGUAAUUC
rnacentral:rRNA from 1 species